UCGAAAUUCUUUCAAUUUUCUGUCGCAAAAAAAACCUUUUCUCUGUCGCCGAAAAACCCUAAACCUGAAACCAUUAAUCUCCGCUGCAAAAAUUCAACCAUUGCCAUUAACCAUUACUACUGAAAAUUACAAUACCAUGGUUUUGUUCUUUCAGCCUCAGGGUAAUCUCUUCUCUGUUGUUGCCAAGAUUAUCGAUUUCUGAUAAUCCUUUCGAGUUCUUCAUAUCUAAUCUGAUUACAUAACAACAGUAUCUGGAUUCGGUUUAGAAACUUCAUGUUUGUGUGAUUCGAUUUAUAUUACUUAAAUCCUUGAUUGAGUUUAUUCUAGCUUAAUAUUAUUUUGGUUACUAAUUCGAACAAUGGGUGUUCUGAUUUGAGUUGUGGUUGUUUUCUUUUCCCGAUAAUCUCUUUUCUCUUACAGACGUUUGAGGAUUCAGUUUUUCAUAUUUGUUUCAGUUUUUAUUAUUGAAUUUUCAUCGUAAUCAUCAUGUUUAUUCUGAUACAUGUUGUUCUUUUCAACUGAUUUGAAUAUUUCUUAAUUGAUUUCUUCACGGGUAAAUAAAUCACUAUCUGUCAACUCUAUGCUGGAAGUUACUUAGUUAAGGGCUUGAAGCAAACAAAUUAAAAUUAGGAUUUACUCCCUUUCUGUGUUUUAUUUUGGUUCUUUUGAUAAUUUUCCUGCAUCUUCAUUAAAUUAUCGUGCAUUGCCCAGGAUGAAUUACAUGCAACAGCCCAAGCUUACCUUUUAUGAUUUUCACACAAAACCUAGAAUGUUUUCUGUUAUCUACUAUCGGUGAUGGGUAUUUGAGAAGAACUUGGAGAGGAUCGUCUACUGUAGGGUUUUAUAUUUCUGUAAUAGAUUAUAAUCUCUCUUUGCUUCAAGAGCUUAUGCCUGGAUACGUAGGUACAAAUUCUUCUUCUACGCAGCUGUUGCUCUAGCUACUCCAUGUCAAAAAAAAAAAUUCUGUAUGUAUUCUCACGAACCAAUUCAUAAUCAGGAAAUGUGAUUAAUUUCCUCAUUGAUGAAAAACGUUAUCUUACUUUUUAACUUUUUUGAUUUGUUCUUAUGAGAUGUUUUUCAAUUACAUUAUUGCGCCAUGAUCUGAUUAAUUGUUUUGUUUGGUCCAGAGACUAAUAUAGAUUCGCGGUGUGAUCUCUAUCCAAAGCUAUAAACCUAUUAUUUGUUUUUGCUAUCGUUCCAUAAAUGUUUACCUAUUUUCCAGUUUAGGAAAAAAUAAAAUCAUAAUGUUUGAGAUUGUUGUGUAGUUGAAUAUGGAGUCUUGCCACAGCAGAAAAGGGACGGUUGUUAAAUCGAACAUGGAACUGAGGUAUGAAUUAAUCUCUAUUGUGAAUCAUGAAGGGGAAAAAGUUACCAUGAUGGGCUAUGAUAAAUUUGUCAUCAUUCAGAGAAAGCUAGCUGGGGGAUGAUGCAUAAGGUAUGUUAAUUUAUGAUAAAGAGAAGGUGUGCACAGAAUGACCUUCAUCGAGAUGUGAUUGAUAUAUGACCCGACGAACAGAAGCCGUCCCUUGAAUGGAAAGUCUCUGCACCAAGGUGUUAAACAAACUUAAAUUAGGAAGCCGGAUUGAUAAUGUUUUGUUUUAAUUUUUAAUUUGAUGCUUUUUUUAUUUACACAAAUUUCAUAGAUACAUCAUUACAUUGUAUGUUAAGCUCGGAAAUCAGUUGGAUUGUUCAUGAAUUUCAAGGUGUACAGGGUAUUGGUGUGCUUGAAGGAUUAUUGGUCAGUCACACAUGAUUAUUUCGUAAUAAGGGGGUACACUCUAAGUAUAGGAUAUUAUAUAUCAAGAUACAAGAAGGAUCGUGUCUGGGAAUGUUUGCUAUAAUUUACAUAGGAUCCAACACAACUUGUGAGAGAAUGUGCAGCUCAUUUCAUUUAUUGGGAGAAUGGAGGUUGUCUCUCGAGGUGAUGAAUGCUCUUUUGGACUCGUUAGAGACCGUUUAUGGGGUUAAAACAGAAAGUCGCUAAAAAGCGAUUAACUGCUUUUAAAAUAAGUGCUGCUUUGGACUCAUUACGAAGGUGUACAUCACAACAUUUAACCCUUGAAUUUAUAUAUGAAACCCCACCUCUUGCUGUUCGCAUGAUGCAAACUGACAUGAACCCUUGGUAAUGUAGUGGUGUAGUUAGAAAAAAUAUCCAAUUAACAAUUUAAAAGUCAAAGACGUUUGCAGUGAAAGAAAUCUAGAAGCUAAUAUUAUGAAUUGCAAUGUUCUAAUCAUAUGUACUAGAACAUUAAGAUGUAGUUUAUUGAUAUUUUUUGAAAGAGAUACUACAAGUCUAGAGCAUGAGCUUGCGGAUAUUCCUUUCGGAGAAUUCAUCAAGCACGGAACUAUUUUUUCUCGGUACUAAA